GCGGUAAAGUUUGGGCAAUCAUCCAUAAAUGUGGGUCUUACUACGCCAUUAAUUCAUAACAAACCUAGAGGAAAUGAAAUAUCCUAAACGUUCACAGGCAGGCUAUUUACAUUUUUACAAGAAAAAUCCAAUUGUUCGAAAUAUGAAAGGACUUUUCCACAACCUAAGUGGCCACUGUCACGCCUGAGACGAGAUGUUCAGGUUUAAAGAAUGUCCCCAUUGGGCUGGCUGGAGGAGAAGAGGAGGGAAAAAAAACAAAAAAAGCAGUGGAUUGGGGACCUUGCUUUCUCGCAGCAGAAAUGUCAGGGAGACAUUAAACAGUGAAAAGCUGGACUCGAAACAGCUUUGAAACUCAUCCCGGACUGGUUCUUUAACAGCACCUGAGGGCGGGAGACACAGGUUAUGUGUCCGGGUCUUUCUCGCACAACUUCCUCGACCCCAUCGCUCCCAUCCGAGAAGCUUUCUUGAUCAAGGCCAUCUUUCCUUGUCUUUGGCCUAUAAGGAGAUCUCCAGCACCUGGCAGACCACGUCACAUGAGCGCUACAUGCUGACAGCUAACCAGCUAUUAUCUUAAAAGAAUCAAACGAAUGUUCAAAGCCCUCGCCGGGCAUGAAACAUGAAAGGAGACGUCAGCCGCUGGCAGCUGACAAGCCAGGAGGAGAGCCAAGGAGCGCACGAGGAAGACGGAGAAAAAGGAAAGACAAAGCGGGGAACAGAGAUCUUUAUUUUCAUUCUACUACAGGGAGUUUUGACAAACUGAUCCCACAGCCCGAACACUAGAUGUUACUAGAACAACACAACACAAUGGCGUGUUUAUAUUGUGGGAAAUGGCACAGAUGAAAGGAGAGAGAGAGAAAGGGAUGGGGUGGAGGGAUGAGAUGCACAAAACUGGCUGUUUUCAAAUUCAACUUCAGAUGUGGAGCUGGCUGAAUGAGUAGUCGGUAUUAGGGAGGCAGUGUUUAAUUAGGGUGCUUUUGGUUUGAAGACCCUCUGGGGGCUAUAAAGGGGUCGGUGCAGAAGAAAUUUAGUGGUUAAUGAUAAUGUUCAAAUAAGUUGGAAUGUACAAGAUUUGACUUUAUUAUGGAUUCAUUCUGCCUUAGGAAAAUACAUGAGAUUUAAACACACUUAAUGCAUUUUGGUUUCAUUCUAGAUAGUGUAUAUAUCAUGUCAAUAGUUAUUCCAAUUACUAUUAAAAUGUGUUGGGGUCUU
rnacentral:lncRNA from 1 species